rnacentral:rRNA from 1 species
UGGGGAAUAUUGGACAAUGGGCGCAAGCCUGAUCCAGCAAUGCCGCGUGUGUGAAGAAGGCCUUCGGGUUGUAAAGCACUUUUAUCAGGAGCGAAACGCUGUCGGCUAAUACCCGGCGGAACUGACGGUACCUGAGGAAUAAGCACCGGCUAACUUCGUGCCAGCAGCCGCGGUAAUACGAAGGGUGCAAGCGUUAAUCGGAAUUACUGGGCGUAAAGCGUGCGUAGGCGGUUUCUUAAGUCUGCUGUGAAAUCCCCGGGCUCAACCUGGGAAUGGCAGUGGAUACUGGGAGGCUAGAGUGUGUCAGAGGGUGGUGGAAUUCCCGGUGUAGCGGUGAAAUGCAUAGAGAUCGGGAGGAACAUCAGUGGCGAAGGCGGCCACCUGGGACAACACUGACGCUGAGGCACGAAAGCGUGGGGAGCAAACAGGAUUAGAUACCCUGGUAGUCCACGCCCUAAACGAUGCGAACCGGAUGUUGGUCUCAACUCGGAGAUCAGUGUCGAAGCUAACGCGUUAAGUUCGCCGCCUGGGGGAGUACGGUCGCAAGACUGAAACUCAAAGGAAUUGACGGGGUCAUAGCUGUUUCCUG